UGGGGAAUCUUGCACAAUGGGGGCAACCCUGAUGCAGCGACGCCGCGUGAGCGAUGAAGCCCUUCGGGGCGUAAAGCUCUUUCGACCGGAACGAUAAUGACGGUACCGGGAGGAGAAGCUGCGGCUAACUACGUGCCAGCAGCCGCGGUAAUACGUAGGCAGCAAGCGUUGUUCGGAGUUACUGGGCGUAAAGAGUGCGUAGGCGGUUUUCUAAGUUCGGUGUGAAAUCUCCCGGCUUAACUGGGAGGGUGCGCCGAAGACUGGGAAGCUGGAGUGUGGGAAAGGCAGGCGGAAUUCCUGGUGUAGCGGUGAGAUGCGUAGAUAUCAGGAGGAACACCGGCGGUGUAGACGGCUUGCUAGACCAUAACUGACGCUGAGGCACGAAAGCGUGGGUAGCGAACA
rnacentral:rRNA from 1 species